AUUGCAGACUGGCAAAAAACAGAAGUGGAUAAAGCCCGAGAGCAGCGCCUGCUGGAAGAACUUGUGGUUAUUGUAAACAAGAGAGAUGAACUUGUUCAGGAUUUGCAUACGCAAGAGCAAGCAAUUGAGGAAGAUGAAUUAGUGGCCAAAGAUACACAAACUGCCAUUCUCCGCCCAGAGAGAGGUUGCGUUGUGCAAUAAACCUUUCUCAGUUACUUGCACUUUCAGUACAUGGAUAUGGAGAUCACCAAAGCUUUCUGUUAAGCAAGAUGCUGACUCCGGAAAUUGCUUUAUUACACUCUUCAAAUGUCCCUUUUCCAUCUUCAGUUAUAUGCUGAUCAGUGAGGCAGAGAAAAAUAUCUUGCUUGAAUGAAUUUUAUGUCAUUUUAUAAAAACAAAAUGAUCUGAUAUAAUUAUUUUUAAUUUUUAUUUUUAUUCAUUAUUUCUAUGUAAUGUUUUAGAAUCUUUUUUUUUUUCGCCCUUUGAUCAUAAUAGUGGAGACGCAUUAAAAUGUGUAAUAUCUUAUGACAAAAGCACAGACCUUAUGAUCUUAGCAAAUGUCCUGCAGUUUUACAUUUGUGGCUAGUGUAGUGGUACUAUGUGCGUUAUUUUUCUUCUUGAAUUAGCAUUUUUAUAUCUUUCAUGGGUAUUUAUCAAAGAUAUUUAAAAAGUGAGAUAUAAUAUUUGUUCUUAGGUAUUUUUAUAUUAGUUUUUGCAUUUCAUAGAUUCUAUAAUGAACUUAAUUUGAUGGUACUGUUUAUAGUUUUGAUUAUUAUUAUUAAAACUUGAAUGUGGCAUAUAUGAAGAUAAUGUGAAUUUAUAAAAUAUAAUUUUCAUUUUUUAUGAUACGUUUUUAGUACUUAUGUCAUUUUUCAAAUUAAUAGUUAUCUAAGGAAAUUUGCUGUGUGUGUUCAGUGUUAAAAUAUACAUAUGUUUUCUAUGAAUUUCUGUUAAGUGUGUCAUGUUAUUUUGACUUUAAUUUCUUAAAAUAAGCAUUCAUCGUGAAACACUUAUAUACAUAUAUGUACAUUUUUAUUAUAUUUUACUUGUUUGUAUUAACUUUCUUUUUGUCAACAUGAUAAAAAAAUAUGAGAAAAUUUAAGUACGUGAUUUUCUUCUUGAAAAAUCAAGAAUUUGUAUUCAGAUUUCGCUUGUAAUGUCUUUACAGCUUUAACUAUUAAAAAAAGUUAAAACUAUAUUUAUGCAUUGAAAUGGCCUGUACUGAGACGUUAAGCCAAUGAUUUUAUAGUUAUCUUUUAUAUUCUUUAGUCAUCUUUACAUUAGCUGCUCGGUAUUAACUAUGUGAAACUUCUAUGCAAGAUAAUUUUAAUGCUGUAUAACUAACUCGUGACUAUUAACGGUGGCUUGUUUAUACAGUCAGAAUUGUAUGUUUAUAUGUAAUUUUAGCUAAAUCCUGUAGUUUACUAAAUGCUAUUGUAUGUAGUGCAUACAUUUUGUGUAUUUAUGUGUCAAAGUGAAUGAAUUUGUCAUUUAACUGCGUAGCUAACGGAUAUCAUCUAAAAAGGAUUUUAAUUAAUUUAUUAUUAAUGUUACAAUUUAACUAGGAUAUUUAUGACCAGAUAGUUAUAUUUGUGAUAAAAAAAGGGGGAGGCUGUUGGGCUAAGUGAAAUUUAAUCAAGUGAGAUUUCAUUCAUACUUCAUCAACUGACGCAUGUUUUACAGAUUUUUUACUUUUGCUUACCGUGUGUUAUCACCAGUUUUUAUAUAUAAUAACUGAUUAUAACACGCUCAAAAUUCAAAUAAAUGUUGUUUCUUAGAGGUUUAUUCUUAACUUUGAAAUGUUGUCCAUCCCUGGUAUGUAAAUGUCAAGAUUAUGAUUAGCUUUGAUAUUGUUAAUUUCUGUUGAAAAACAGAAUUAGAUUGAGCUUUAGAAAUGAAUGAGAUGCAGAAGUGUAUUGGAGGUUACUUAGUAUCUAAUAAUCGUAAGUGAUGACAAAACUCUUUCUCUUAAUGUGAACUGAAGUAAUUUCCUUCAAGUCUGUCAGCCUGUGUAAGAUGAUGACCCACUUUCUAGUUCUGUCCAUAUGAAAUGUAUGAAAUGAAGUGUAUGUACACCUGUCAGGUAAUUCUUCAUUUUUGAUAUCUAAAUCUAAUGAAACUGGAACUUGUUUGUGUCUGGUGGGAUAUCCUUUAUUUUCUAUUUCAGUACGCAUGGCAAGUGUUGUUGAAUAAAGCUUUAAAAUGUUAGAUCUUGUUUUUUUUUUAAUGCAACAUGCUUUGAAUCAGUUUAUCAGUUUAUAAAAUUGUAUUUCCUUCUUAAAGGUUACAAUUAAUUGUAACUUCACAAUACUAUAAAUAUUUAUAAAUUUACAUUUUAAUCAAUUUCCUUUCCCUUUAUUCAAAAUAAAUCAUUGAGAAUACAAAAUUUACAGCGAUCCCUGUUCUAUCUAUUAUACAUAUUCGUAACCUUAUUUAAAAGGCAUUUAGAAUCUAUCUAUUUAUAAUCUAGUUGAUUUAAUCUUAAAUUUCUCUUUAAUCUUCUAUGCUGAGCAUCAUCAACAAAUGGCUAAGUGUUAAUUAAAAAAUACAAGUUUUGAGUAAAUUUCAUUUGUUUUAUUUGGAGAUGUGUAUAAAAUAAAUUAAAUCAUACUCGUUCUAGGUUUGUUCGAUGCUUUUGAAAAUAAAUGUUUUUAAAUCUUUUAAGGCGAAGCUUAAAGUUUAAUGCUUUGAAGAACAAACUCAAUAAACUGAAAAUAUAUUUCUGGAUAUUUGUAAUAUGUUUGAGCAGUUCAGCAUCGUAUCAAUUUUUCCUGAGUGGUUCUCUUAGACAUUUUAUAAGAUUAUAGUGAAUUGAAUUAAUUUAUUAAGAACCAUUUUUGGUUUAGUUACCUAGAAUUAAAUUAUCUGUUUCCUGAAGUAAAUUCUACUGCACGUGUACAGUGUUCUGGCUAAAUUCCAGUCUUCUGCCAUUUGAUAUUUCGUUAUGUACGAUCGCAUUUUUAUUGCUUCAUUUUCUUGCACUAUAAAGUUACUCAUCACAGUUCAGAGUAAACUUCUGCAAAGCGCUUUUAUUAAUCAUAAAAUAUUGUUUCGAUUUUUCUUGAGAGCACUGAAAAUCUUUGCUAUCCUUAACAAUUCUAUAACAAUUUUAAUACUUCGAGCUUAUCUAAUCAUCCAAGUAUUUCAAUUCGUCAUAAAUCUUUGUUUUUAUUUUUUCAGUAACAAUAUGAAAAUUAAAUUUCCACUGAUUAUUUAAUAUGUUUACGAAACGUAUAAAAUUAGUUUUUAUAUUAUUCUUUGCACAGUGUUUCUUGCAAGCCUCAAUUUGGUUUGUUGCUUUAUGAUUUGAAUGAGGAUAUUCAUUUGUAUUUGUGCCUGUACAUACUGUAUUUACAUAAAACUGUAUAUGAUUGUUCAUAUAAAGCAUAUGUGUUUUAUUCCCCCCUUUUUUUUCAAAUUCGUUUAAAGUAUCAAUGUAUUGAAAUGCUUAAGUAGUUAAGACAUGUCCAAGUUUUAAUUUGUUCUGAAACAGUUUGCAACACACUGGUGGUGAUGAAUUUUAAGUUACUGUGACGGUAUGUUAAUGUGUAAAUAUUGCAUGAAAAAGAUGUGUAUAGUUUCUUCCCCAUGUUUUUAUGUUUUAGUCAGAAUGUUAAAUGAGAUUAGUCUGAAAUAUUGCAAAUAUUGUGCUCACCGGAUCUGAUACAGGGAUGUUAAAUAAACACGACAGUUAAGCAAUCUUCAAUUUUGUAUUAAAUGUAUGCAUAUAUAAUAACUCCAAAGAAAUGUGUUAGAGAUAGUGAUCACUUUCCUGAAGUUUGUUGCGGAAAGUCUAAACUUUCUUCAGAUAGAGCUUGAUUGCAGUUGUAAAUAAUGCAUAGAACUACUGUUAUACUAGUAAUUACUGUUAAAGCUUUAUGUAGCUAACCCCUUGAUUUUAGGUUUUGUGUCAUUUUAUCUCUUUAUUUUGCUGCUACAUGCUUUUUGUUUUACCGUCUGCUUGUGCUAAAAAUAAAUAAAUAAUUUUAUGUUAGGAAGCUACUAGAAAAUAAUUCUUUUUUAUUCCUUGUAUAUCAAUAGAUGGUUUGAAUAAAUGUUAGCUGAACAACUUAAGGUCGAGAAUGGAUAUUUCAUUAUCUUUAUGUAAUGCUGUUGUAUAUAAAAUUAGAUUAAGUGCGAUUUAUACAGUUUAUAAAUUUUAAAUGUUAUAGUCUCAUUGCUUUAAUUGUCAGUUUUACAGCUAUCUAUGAAUUCUCACUGUGUAAUCUGCCUUUGAAACUAAUCAUUUUGGACCAAAUGGCCUUUUGGCAGUUACUUAUAAUCAGCUUGUCAUGUACUCCAUAAUGACCUUGACUAGAUUCUAGCGAUCAUGUUUAAGUUUUAUUUGAUGUCUGUCAUUUUAAAGAAAAGUUUCUGGGAAAAAAACCUUUAUGCAUGUAGAGAAUAAGAAGUUUUCAGUUUCAAACUACUACUUUCUGAGAAACUUUCCUCUCUUGGUAACUUUUCUGUAAUUUGGAAUAAAAAUCUAGUUUGUAUAUCAUUUACUCUUAUUGAAGAAAUGAGAGACAUUUUCUGUCUUUAUUACUUUUUAUAUCUGAAUGAAAAUUAUCUUCAUCAUCAGUGAUUAGGUAGGAAAAAGAAUAAAAUUGCAAGUGCAUGCUAGAAGUAUAUUAAGAAUCUCUUUAUACUUAGCUACAAACAAUAUUUCCUAUCCUCAUUGUCAUUUUACAAGAUCACAUUAUAGUAUGACCGAUUCUGAAAUACAAAAAAGAACGGGAUCCUUUCGAACUUCGUAUGUUGGUACUGUAUAAAUUGCUGAUUUGCUGAAAUUUUGCUUUCAGCUGAAUAGUGUUGGUAAUUAACCCACUGAGCACAUGUGUGUCUUAAGAUUUUGCAAGUGUAAUUAUUUCUUCAUUUGUCAUCAAGGACUAAAUUGCACAAAGUGAAAAGAUGACAAAAGUCGCCUUAAAAGGUAUUGAUAGUUACAGAAAAUGUGAAGAGCUGUUUCACAUUUCAAUAAUUUGUGGAAUUUCGAAGAAUGAUUGGAAUUCAAAGAAAACCGUUAGUUUAUAAUAAAUUUGAAUGUCGUUGUAGUUUGUCUGCCAAACAUUGUCUUACCAAAAUUAAUUGUUUAUUACAGACAGAAUAAAUCGAUGAACGGGAAUCCAUUUGCUAUCCUGUUGCUAAAUCGAUGAACGGGAAUCCAUUUGCUCCAUUGUCACCGAAUGUUUCUAUAAUGCAUUUAUUAUAACUUUUCAUUAAAAUUUUUCUGUCACCUAUGUCCAAAUACAUGGUUUGUAUUUCAAGUAAUGAACUUCGAUUUCGGGUUCUUGCUUCUGUUUUUAAAUUUUUUUUAAUCGAAUUUUUGGUCUAAUUUAUAUUUUAAUGGAAACUGAUGAUAAUUAGCAGAUAAUGCCAAAGAGUUUCAUAUUACCUAUGUUGAAUAUUUUAAUUAUAAAUUGUAAGUAAGUUUUAUUAUUGAACAUACUUAUCAGUAUUAUAAAUUUUCGUACACUACAGAAGCCGUUUCGCAUAAUUCAUAUCGUUGAUUAUAUUUUCGUCUUUUUGCAUGUAUUUCUAAAUAUUUCAUUUACUGAUAAAUCAAAAGUGCCAAUUUUUAUCGAAUUUAUAAGCAGUCGAACAAAAAUCAUUGUAAUAUCGAAUGAAAAGCACUAACCAAAUAAAAGUUACUCAUAUAUUGGAGAUCACAGUUACACUUAAUUAAUAUAUCUGUUGAGUUUUAUAAACUGUGGUAUAAAUUAUCUAGUAUUUUAUUCUUGUCAUUUCUCUCCAGUGCUAACUGUUGGUAUAAAUAACACUUUAACAAAUUGACAAGCCUUUGAAAAAUGGUAACUUUUAAAGUUUUUAAUGUUAUUUAUCAGCGUAAUGUCCAUGAGAUGCAUCUUGAUUUAUGAUUUUAUGUUUAUGGCUCUCCAAUUUUAGAGGCCUCUGAAAGAUUAUUCCUUUUUAUUUCAGCAAUUAAACUUUAAUUUUUCGUGUUGCUUGGCAUAUGUGCAUAGUAAUUUUCAAGUUAAAAGAAAUAGAAUAGAUUUUUAAAUUUUGUAUGCUUGAUUUCUGUUUAAAUGUAUUGCUUUUUUGAAAUUAGUAAUGAAUUGCAAUUGUGGAGUAUAUGUUUCCUUUUAUGUAACAAAGCAGUCAACUGCCGAUAAAAUGUAUUAAAGCCUGAAGAAAGCACAACUUGUGGACUAAAAUGUGGUGAAUUCGAGGAUUAUAAUAUGACGAUUUUUUUAAUGUGACUCACAUAUUAUCUUGGCUAUUUAUCUGUCAGAUACUACAUCUCAGCCCAAAAGUUGUGCUUUAUAGCAAUCAGAUGGUAAUUAUUUACAAUGAAGUGUAUUGUUCAGUAUCUCAGGUAUGUAUUUUGCUGAGCUAUAGCUUAUUUAAAUUUUAAUUCUUUAAAAUAAAAAAUUUUCAAUUUGUCUUUGAAUAUUAACUAACAGUUACAGGCAUUACUUUGUAAAACAAGUAAUCUAUAUUAAGUCGAGAUUAAGAUACAUUUUUUUGGAAUAGUAUUUAUUUCUUAUUUGCAAAACUGAAACUUCAUUUGUGCCUGUGAAAAUUUAAACCAAUCUUUUCGUUUGAAAAUUUUACCGAUGAAUCAGAACUGUGCAUUACCCUGUUAAAUGUUUUCAUCGAGCUGGAUUCAAAAAGUUAAUAUUAGAUUAACAAUAAGGAAAUAUACGACAUCCAUGUUAUAGAAUAUUUAAGAAGUUAGAAAAGUGCAAGAAUUUUUUUAUAUUUGUUUUCUAUAAAUAAAUUGUAAAAUUCGAUUAAUGUCGAUUUUUGAAAGACGGUAAAAAUAAAAUUUAAAUCAUCUGCAGUUCAGGAAUGUUGUUCUUGUAAAUUUAAGUCUUUUGAUUUUUGUAUGGAAGGAAUAUAAAUCUUUAUUUCACAAUCAUCAGUGUAAAUCUUUGGGCUUCCUCUAAGAACGUGAAUUACCCAGAAAAAGUAAUUUUCGAGUUUCUGUGCUUUCUGAUAACAAAUUAAGUUAUUGGAAUAAGAAUAAAAGACCAGUGUCAACUUUUUUAGGGUUCACAAGAUCAUGAGUGAUAUUUAUUUCAUCCAAAUCAAAACAAAAUUUAUUCAGUGCUUUAUUUUUAAUAAUAAUGUUUCUCUUCGUGCCGUUUAUAAAAACUUAAAUCGUCUUUAACUGAUUUUUAUAAAGAAACUCAAGUGCUGUUAAACAAAGAAAUAUAUUAGUGUCGGGCAAAGUAACACAGAAGAAAUGAAUUAAUGUAAAUAAAGUAACUUCGAAAAGAAUAGAAAAGUAUGAAAAAAAAAAUCAGGCCGUCAUAGCAUGUAAAAUGCUAUCUGUCUCAAUUUCCUGCUUUCUUUCCUUUGUUUCAUUUUGUUUUAUUUAUACAGACGUAUGCACAUAGUAAAGCUCUUUAAUGAAGCAGUAGGAAAUACAAAUAUUUGUUUAUUACAUUUUCGUAAGCAGGCGUAUUAUUUAGUAGUCAACAAAUGUGCUGUUGUAACUGCAUUGAUUACAUAUAGGAUAGUGAGAAAGAUAGAACAGUGCUGUUGAUAACGGUGCAGAACUUUCUUAUUAACAUUUUUAUUUUAAAAUUAAAUGGAUAUUAUUUAUUUUAAUGUUUCUUUACCGCUUUAUUUAUUUAAGUUGUAUUUCUUGUAAUUUUGAGCUUCCAAGGUUUUGAAAAGUGGAAUAAUAAUGUUAAUAACAUUGUGUUCUUUCUGCUAUUCUUGAUAUGUUCAAAGUACCAGAGCAGUUUGAAAAUGGUCUUCUUGAGGAGAGAUGAAAACUUAGGAUUGAUUUCAAGAGUCUGAAAAAUCGAAUAAUCCGAAUAUCUUCUUAUCCAGUUAGUCCGAAUUAGCACAGGUUUGCUAUGCAUUUUGUUGUUACAGAUGUGCGCGUUUCGUCGUGUAGAUGACAGUGUUAUAUAUCUAUUUGCGACGCAUUAAUGAUGAUUCUUGAUGGCUUUAUUGAUAAUGAUUACUAUAUCUUUUUUUAGUGAAUUUUUAAACUUAUUUUCUAAUAAUUUAGAUUCAAGUAUUUUGGUAUUAAAUUACUAUAAUGGUACAAAUGUAGUUUCAGUUAAUAAAGUUUUGUUAUUCGUAUGUAUCUGUAAAUGGUUGUGAAAUUUUAUUAUGGAAUAUUUAUUUACAUACUUAACUUAUAUGUACCAUAUCUAAUGUUUGUGAUAUGCCGAAUUGUUCCUUUUCGAAGAGUUAAUAUUACACAUAGACUGAAAUUUUAAGUUCGAGUCAGAAAUUUUCUGCUAAGCUUCGAUUCUUGCAGUGUGCUUGCUUAUAAUGUACAAUCGAUAAGUAAAUAUGCAACGUGCUCUUUUGUAGCAUUGCGAGGGUUCUGAAUUCCCCCUCGUGGUGCUGGUCUUGCCUUUGUCUAUGUGAUAAGCUGCCUUGUAGUUAUGUCAUGUGUUUUGUGAAUAAAUAUUAAAAGCUUCAAUAAUUUGCAAUGUUAAAUACGUGUCAAAAAUAAAAAGCGAAUGUUUGAAUAAAA